rnacentral:lncRNA from 1 species
CCUGUAAUAUUGUAUCAAAGAUCAAUACAAAGCAAUUAACGGGAGCGACACGCUCCCGAAGCCAUCCAACCUGUGCCUCGUGUUCGUGUGUCUCGGCGACUUGUGCUAGUUCAAAUCGAUCAACCCAGUUGCAUUGCAUAGUUCGUAGCUAGCCACCACAAAAGCAUCCACCUGCUAGCUUAGGUUACGUGUGCGUAGAACCGAUUGGCCGGCUAGUACGGAUACGUACGUGCUCCGACGGAAAGUACUCGUCCGGAUCGACGUCUGACGUGGGUGUGUGCCAACAAAUUUGGAGCUGGACUAGUGAAUUCUGGACUGUCUGGACAAAUAUGAGGAAGCCGAUAGAACAUAUGGCUGCGAACGGCACUCUGGGGCAGAUCGGAGAAGUGCUCCGAAUUACAACAUUCUUGUGUCACCUCGGGGUAGCGCUGUUGUCCAAAGAGACACCGCAGAAGAUAUAAUUUAUUGGCUAUGAUGUGCUCAGUUGUGCUUCUUCAACUCCCUGGCCAGGGUAUCCCUUUCAACCUUCAGCUUGGUUUAUUCUUGGAUGUGCUUGUUGAGGUCCUAUUGGAUGAGGGUGGUCGCCUCCCGGGCAGCCUGGCACGCUAUUUGCACUUUUUCAAAAGGAGUGGCUGUCUUCUAGGUCUCGCUCUUGGAAUUCAGACCUGGUGCUGGGUAGUCUGGAUCUGAAACUCCAGCUUGGCCACCCGCGCUUCUCGGUAGCUGCACAAGCAGGCAGGUGUGUCAGCGGUACAAAUCGCACAUGAUGGGGAUAGACUUAAUGCGAUAAAACCGUGUGCUUGAAAAAUAGAUGUGUGCGAUCUUCUUUUUGUUUUGAAUUUUCACCGGGGAGAGGUUUCUUCCCACCUGAAUUGUAUUCAUUNNNNNNNNNNNNNNNNNNNNNNNNNNNNNNNCAAUCGAAGGGCACCGGCCAACCAAGACUGCACAAGGCAGCGACACCACCGAAUUCAUGUGAAACAGACUGCACAAUGCCACGACACCACAUGGGUCAUGUGGUACCAGACUGGACAAUGCCGCGACAGCACCAAUGUCAUGGGGUAUAGACUGCCCAACACUGCGACAUGACUAAUGGGCGUGCUGAUGAUGAGUUGUCAACUAAAGUAUGCCUCGUCCAUGCGGUUGUGCUCCUCGGACGCACGUCCUGCAUCACCAGCAUGACGACCUGAGCAUGCGUCACGCACGUCCUUGCAAGACAUCAAAGCAUCACUCUUGCAAGUUGCCCUCAUAAAGGUAGGAUGUGUUUGGUUGUUGUCACGGGCUAGAAUGUCACGGUCCGGACCUAUUCUUGGGCCUGGUUCUCGCGUUUGGUUCGUAGCUGGAACGAUAACCCACUGGUUCCCGCAGACUGAAUAUUCGGUUGAGAUGCGGAACCGGGUGAAACCUCAAAAUUUAGGCCAACUUCAACGCGCAACCCCAUCCUAUCGGUCCGCGUCCAUUUGGGGGUAAACGGACAAAACAGUCCUUCCAACGCGCGGCCGCAAACAGAUGACUGUCCAUUUUCUGUCCGCUUUCAACCCAUUUCCGGUCCAAGUUUGAGCCGAGUUGGCAGCCAUACAUACAUCACACAGAUGGGCGGGACACACGCCCUUGUGCUCCCCUGGCCCACCCGUCGGUGGCACAGGCGGCCACUUUCCCUCCCUUUCCUCCAAAACCCUCCCGCGCCCCACCCUCCACCAUCCCGCGCCCUGCGCUUGCCCCUCCCUCCAUCCACCAUGACCAACGACGCCAAUCCUGGCGACCCACCACCGGCUGCCCACCCCACUGCGAAAAAAAGAAGCUGGUGAAGAAGCCUCGAUCGGAGCUGACGCCGGAGGAGGCCACCAAGCUGGACGCCGAAUCGGCCAAAAGGAGGAACCGACGGAUUGCUGCGAUAGAGAAGAAGGCGACCGCCGAGUACGCUGCCGAGUGUUCCCUAUGGUGUGCAUUGCGGCACCAAGCUGCCCUCGACGACAAGGAGUCCACCGGCUUCUCGGCCCAUUGCAUGUCGCAACACCGUUUCCCGAGCAUGGCCGUCACAUAGGAGACAUCGGAUGUUCGUGCUCCGCCGCACAACCAUGGGCAAACGAGAUUCUCGGCGUCACCAGACUACAUGCAUCGUGGUCGAUCCGACCACGCCCACAGGCAUCAUUGACCUCAACAUCACGCCAGGGUACAGUGGCACUGGCCAUUGUGAAGACGACAUGCAAAGGAAGCAGCCCCGGCCGUUCGUGUCGACUCACAUGGCCGAAGCCGGCAAGCUGUUUGACGAUAUGCCACCGCCGACGCAGACGGCGACGUUUGAGGAGCCUGACUAUGCCUCAUUCAUGUAGAAUGUCAUCUUUGAGGGUCGUGGUGAGGCGUUCCACGUCCACGGCCAAGAGCAAGUUUUUGAUCCCGACGAGACCCAAAGCCAGGACGUCCGUGGUACCUAUGAUGACACUCAGUUCGUCGGGCAUGAUGAUGGUGAUGAGGACGACUAUAGCAACUCGUGGCAUGAAGAUGAUGGCUUGUAUUGUGAAGAUGAAGAAGAAGAGGUCGACAUUUACGCGGAGCCAUUGUUGUUUGUUGACGAGCUCACCCAAAAGGCCGAAGCACGGAAGAGGAGGAAAAACAUUCGCACGGGAUCAUACACCCACGCCAACGACACUUUGAUUUGCGAGCUUGGAAGGAAAUUGGCCAAGAUCCAAUAAAAGGUGCCGAGCAAAAAUGGUCCGUCUUUUGGACAAGAGUUCACAAGAACUUUCAUGAGCGAAGAAAGUUUGCCCCCUACCAAUUCACAAGCAACCGCGGCAUCAAUUCAAUCCAAAAAAGAUGGGGAUUCAUCCAACAAGAAUGCAACAAAUAUUGUGUCGCGCUUAAGAGUGUCAUAGCCCGUCCCAUGAGCAGCCUAGGACUUGUUGACUUGGUAUGAACCUCUCGCUUUUUCCAUCAUGCGUCUAUUACUGUUGGCAUGCCAUUUAGGUUUCAUGCAUUGUAUGUCCUUUCAUGUUACAAUUGUGGCCGCAUGUUUGAUUGUGUAGGCAUUCCAAUCUUUGGAAGCCUUCAAGGCCCGGCACAAAGACAAGCCGUUCACUCUCACGCAAUAUUUGGUACUCAUCAAAGAUUGCCCAACUUCAGAGACCAAUACAACGCUCUUAAGAAGAAGAAAAGACAGAAGGUGGCCGUGGUUGACGAUGGAGACGUGCUCAAGAGACCGAGGGGAAGGACAAACUCCAAGGCUUACGAGAAGCGUGAUGCGUCUUCUAUAGUGUUACAAGGAACUUUGGAGACCAUGAUGAGCCAAAAGGAAUUGCAGCUGGAGAGAAAGAGCAGAGGAAAGGUGGAGCAAAUGAAGAUAUAUCUUGAUCUUCAGCAAAUGAAGAUAUAUCUUGAUCUUCAAACGAAGAAACUUGACAUGGAGGAGGCCAUGAAGAGGAGGAAGCUUGACAUCGAGGAGGCCGCUCACGGCAAGAAGCUAGAGAUCGAGUCCACCAUUGCCGAUACAAAAGACAAGGAGGUGGCACUAGCGUUGAUGAGCGUCGACAAGAACAACAUGUCACUGGUGAGGAAGGCUUUGGUUCACGAACCGGUGGAAGGAGAUGUUCGCCCACGACAGCCUGCUCUAGGUGAGACCUCGGCUGUGAUGGUCGCUAUGGCGGACCUUUUUGAAGGUUGGCUGUUGUGCCGGCCGCUGGCUUUGUUGCCGGCGACAAAACUUGUCCAUUUUGAAGGCUGGCUCGUGUGCCGGCCGCUGGCUUUGUUGUCGGCCCCCAAAACUUGUCCAUUUUGAAAGCUGGCUGCUGUGCCGACAGCUGGCUUUGUUGCCGGCGCCAAACUUGAGGUGACCAACCUAUAGGCCGAUGGCUUUGUUGCCGGCCAGCUGAUCUAGUGUGAACGCACCGGCUGGCGUGAACUUGGCCGAGUGGAGGAGAUGUUGCCGAAAUGUGUCCACUCGUUGGACGCACGGCCGCCGCAUCCAUAAAUCCAGACGGAUACGUCCAUUAUCACCCUCAAACGAACGGAAAACGAACAAAACACACAUUCAUUUGGGAUCGUGUGAUUGGAGUUGGCCUUAGCAGACGACAAGGAACCGUCUCCUCCUCGUCGCACUCCCGCAAAAAUCAUCCCUCGUCCUCUUUAGGUGCGUCACCUCCCCUCGUCUCUCUUCCUCCCUCGAUCUGCUCCGUCUGCCCGAUUCCUCCUAUCCUCGCCGCCGGCUCACUGUCCUUUCCUCUCUCGAUCUGCAACACCACGGAGGAGUCACGGACGGUGUAGAAGACCCACCUCAGAUCAGAUGGGAAAGUGCGUGACAGCAUGAGGGCGACAACAAGCAGCGGACGCAGCAACGGCAGGCAGCCCCGGAAGUGGAUUGAUUUGUUAUCUUUCCAAGUCACAGCAAGCAGCGAAGGCUCAAUUUCUCUCCCCCAAUGGUGAAUUCUGCAACUUGUUCGCCGCAGCAAGCAGUGUAAAGUUGUACACACAUGGUUAUGUUAUUCUGCAUGAGUUGCAGAAUUAUCUACAAUUAUUCAUUAGUCCCUUCGUUUCGUAAUAUAAGAGCGUUUUUGACACUAGUGCAGUGUCAAAAAUGCUCUUACAUUAUGGGACAGAGGAAGUAGUUAACAAAAUAUUAUGUAUGUAUCUUGCAGAAUCAAAUAUACAUGGUUAAGUAUGACACUGGUGUAAAUUUCGGAUUAAGUGUAUAUUGUUUGGCUAGUUCCAAAAUGUUUGUUUGUAUGCUUGUGACUGCACUUUGUUAACUGUUUGUGCUGCAAACAAAAAUAAAUAUGUUGCUAAAAUUUCAAAAACUAUGUUCUUCAGUUUGCAAAGGCUAUAUUUGUUUCAGAUUGUACAACAUUUUUGUAGGGGAUAAUCUCUUAAUCCAUAUGAAAGAGGUGUCUGAAAUCAAUGUUGCCGAAUUCCAUCUUUGCAACCAAAUACAGUAACAUAACUGUUUCGUUCUAUUUUUUAGCUCCAACCAAACGUAGGAAUGGAACCGACCCACUCUCAUGCAAUGGAACCAUUCCCUUCCAUUCUAUUUGGUUCCUCAACCAAACACACCCGUAGCAAACCGAGCUGGUGCCUAGCACAGAGUCGGACGAGCUGGACAUGUCUUUUUCUUCAAUAUUAGCAGCUACUAAUAUUUUGGUCACAUACCACACGCACGAGGGAUAAAACGGUGUUUUCAUAUGUCAUUUAACACUGUUAAGGCUUAAAAUGGAAGGAAGUGUCAUAAAUGACAUUCCCUCGAUCUCCGCCAUUGAGCUCGUGGAUUCGCCUCCCCUCCAUCUGCCGACUACUGGAGGUGGGGCGGGGAAUCCUACGGCCUUGGCUCCGGGUAGUAGAUAGGUAGGGUUUUAGACCUUGUAGGGGCGGCGCUUGAACGGAUGGCAUCACAUCUUCUUUGAUUCAAUCUUCCGAGCUCCGAUCCUCCUCACAUUUGUCCAUCCAGUCGGACUAGACGGAGCUCCGACAUAGAUUUUUGCCAGCUCAUUAGGGCAGCGAGGCCUACGAUUUCUCGUCGUGCAUAUGCAACGGUGAGAGUUUGUGUUAGGUUUUCCAGACAGAUUCAAGAAUUCAACAACGACGUCAUUGCUCAAGGCCGCUGCUACUUAGGGGAACAUGCAUGAAGACUUCCUGACAGUCAUCAACAUGGUCAUUCUGGCGGGUAUGGGAGCGGCGACAACGGCACGUCGAUGGCUCCUUCUAGUGGGGCAAUGGUCGUUCGGUGAUCCAUUGACCUUGAUAUAAUUGUUGUUAUGUUUGAGGUGCUUUGUACUCUGAGUGAAUGUUUAUAAAUAGAUCAGAUCAUCUUUGCAAAGAAAGACACAUAAAGUUUGGACUCGGUGUUAGAUAGGGAAGAAAAAGUCCAGUGUUUGAUGUACAUCUACGUAGAGUAGGAAAAGGGAAACUUUCAUGAGGGAAAAAGAAGUAGAAUUUAUUUUAAAGAAAGCUGCCCCUCCCUCUCUGGAUGAAUGGUCAGUCAAUGGUGGUGUUGCUUUCCGGAUGAACUGUUGGUUAAGCUAAAGGGCACAGCUGAUGGAGCAGCAAUGCCGGCAGGUAAUUACCUCAACCGAAAGAACCAACCCAAAGAUGCAAACGCAGAUAGAUGGGAACAGAAUCCUCACAUGUGGAUAUUAUUGGAAUAUGCAUCACUGAAAGCAGAUAGAAUGAAUGUCCAUCCAGGAAGGAAAAGGAUCAUGACUGGCUGAGGCUGGCCAUAGUGGAAGUAACUAAGAUAGUAUUAUAUACUUGGGACUAUCAAACAUGCUGAUGUGGCAGACAAUUAAAAAAGGGAGAGAGGGUUAGUGUAACAUAGAUAGAUAUCGUAACAUGUUAAAUGAUAUGCUACUAUAUGUCAUGCAUGUCAGUAAAUAAGGUCAUCUAUAAUACUACUUUAUGAUGUCAUGCUGAUGCCACCUCACCUCAUGACGCCUUUCCCUGAUUUUUCCAGUAUUUCUUUUCAAAGCUAUUACCAUGUCAUGCCUCUUCCUGCCUUCAUAGAUUGUUUGGUCUUCGGAGCGACCCGACACGAUGCCGCUCCCCUCACCCUCACAGUAUCACGGCAGCCUCUGACCAGCUACGUAUCGCUCCAUAACAAGGCCAACUGCAGUAAACAGUCAAUCUGUCUAGCAGUGGGUGAAAAGGACCGAUCGAGCUACCUUAAUUAACCUGCAUGCGUAUGAUUCUCGCUUGCAAUAUGAUGAAUCCUGGCCAUCACGGCAUACAACACCGGGUGAAGACAAUCGACACCAAGAUGCAUGGUGCAGGAACAAGGAUGCCGACAGCGGCAGGGUGUAGUGGCCCGUGGGGUCUCCGUCGGCUGCACCGUCAGGUUCGGAGACAGCUCCUGCUGGCUAUCUACCCAGUGGAGCACCACGUAGCCAAGCUCAGCUAGCUAAUCGAUCUGUUUGCACUUGCUUCCUCGAGACAUAAUCCAGAUGGGAUCCUCCCCCUCUUUUCACCUGGAGCAAGCAUGCAUCCCUGCGCACUUGGGAUCAAUUAAUGGUUUGAUUUGCAGGGUCAAUAGUUUGUAAGAAAAUACAGUAGAGGGAGUACUCCCUUAUUAGCCAAUACGUGGCCAGCUUAAUUAGCACCACAUUAAACCAAGCAAGAGACAAAUCCUGAGUGUAUAUUUUAUACCAUCGGGUUCAGGAUUGGAUCUCGAUCGUCCAGCAUGGGCAUCAGGGCCUGGUGCCCAUCAUGCUACUAGGUACUAGCCACUUUUAGUUUCCUUUACCCAAGUGAAAGUGCUGACCUAAUUCUAGCAGACCCUGUCUGUGGCUUCCAUGUGGCUCAUCAACUUGCUUCCUGUACGAUGUGAUUGAUGAGCCCAUGAUGAUCAUACAUAUGGGGCUAGGUUAAUUAUAGGCCGCCCAAAUUAACUACAGUUUAGCUAGCUUUUUCAUAGAUUGACACCUAGCACCACAACUACGACAACACCACUUGACUGACGACUUAAGUUAUAGGCAAAUCCAGUAUUUUUAUGCCGCUAAUAGAGCUGGCCGUACACAAUCUAAUCAAGCAUGUGGCGGUUAUAUCAAUCUCACACGACCCUUUGCUGAAAUGUUUCCUAUAGAAAAACUGUUGGCAUUGCUGGGACCAGUUUUUUUUUAGACAAUUUUCCUGGGCCAGGUUGUCUUAAUCCGAUGUGAUGGUGUUAUGGGCCAGGGACGUCUCACUAUGUCGGUUGCUGACCCAAAUAAGCCAACAUGAGGCCCCUUGAUCGGUUCCGAUAUGGGCCAUCAGUCUGGCCCAUGGGCCUCAUAGGAGAAUUUUUGAAAGAGUUGUCGUUCAUAACAAAAUAACUAGCUAGAGCCGUGGAGUACUCCCCUUCACUAACAUAGCCGACUAGAUUGUGUAAUCCUAGGGGGGCCGAUAUGUUUAUAAGUCGGGGCCGUGCUAGUCGAUAGAUCAUCAUACAAUCCCAUGGUUAUUACUUAUAUAUCCUAGUCACAAUAUACACGAGCAGGAGUAGGGUAUAUAUUACCUUAUAAGGAGGGCCCGAACCUGAAUAAAUCCGUAUCAUGUUUUUCUUCUGACCAAAUUACAACAUCUUAAUACCCUACCAAGGAAUCUGUCAGAUUCUACUCCGACAAAAUGCGUUGAACAUGCAUAGACUCACCUACUGACGUCGAUGUGCGGUCAAGUCUUCCCGUACAUCAUCGCUUACGAGAGGGUUCGGUUAAUUAUGACAACAAGUACAACUCAUUUUUCUUUUCUCACAUAUGGAUGUUGGCUGACAGUUUCGUGGCUGUCCCUACCAUUGAUGCAUUGCAUAUGGCCCUUUUGUAUCUUUACCAUUAGAAGGGAGUUAGUGAUUAUUCAUCAUGUGUUUUCGUUUGUACGUCCUCCACUUCAUACAUUUUCCCUCCUUUUCAUUACCCCUUUUUUGUCCAUACUGAUUUCACGUGUUUUCGUUUGUAAGUCCUCCGCUUCAUACAUUUUUCCUCGUUUCCAUUACCCUUCUUUUGUCCACACUGAUAUUCUUGACACGCCAACAUUUCUUGGGCAAAAGUCUCUGUAAUCAUAUCCUCUUUUCUCUGUCUGAUCAGAUCAGCCCAUGAUGGCGUGGUCGGGCUAGUUUAAUUAGGUCACUCUUCUUUUUGAGCAACUAGGUAAUUAACUUCAUUUUGGCUAGCUCUUCACUAAUUGACACCUAGCUUUGACUCCAAGGUUAGUGCAAAAGCCAACUUAACCCAUUUUUCGUCUUGACUUUCAAGCUUUCGCGGUCCUUGGAUUGGUCGUCAUGGCCAUAGUAGCUUGGGUUAAGUAUUCAAUACGACUUUUCGCAAAAAAGAAAAUCAAUACAACCAGCUUGCUUGUGAUUACAGGGACAUUGCAUCACAGAUUAACAAUCGGCAAUUAAGAAAUCAUAUUCCAUCGAAAGUGGCAUGGACUUUCAAGUAAGUACUAAUAAGAUAUUGUUAGGUUGAUCUGGGUCCAACGGCCCAUUGGACCUUGACUCACGCCCUGAUCGGGGGCGUUUAGCCCAAGCAAGGCUGGUGGGCCCCUGUCGCGCAGUGCUAUAUGUAGAGGAGGUGGGGACCAUGACACGGGUUACAAGGUUCGCUGCCGCUACUGGUUCCUCACUCUCCAACCCUAAUCCGAUCUAAAGGGAUGCACUGAAGCGACGAGAAGUCCACCGCCGCCACUACCGGAUCUCUCUCUCCUUCCCCACCGUCGUCCCCAUCUCACGACAGUCGCCGGAGGGAACUCAUCGAGAUCAUCACAAUGUAUAUCUCCAUAUCACACCGAACACAUCUAGCCUUGUCGAUCCACGGAUCUAUCAAUGGUAUCAGAGCCAUGAGGCUUUAGAUGUUGUUACGGUUGCAAGAACAUAACGAAAGCGAAAAAAGUUUCCCCUCCCCGAUAUGAACCGUAGAAGGGCAAAGUUCAAAAAAAAAAGAAAGCUUCACCGGAGUUCUCUCCGGUAAAGAAGCGCCGCCUCGGCCGCGCCUGUUCCUCUUGAUCCCCACACGCAUCGGCAAGCCGAGGUGUGGGGAAGAAGAACCUACCUCCUCGGAGGCAAAGAAUGGACCUAGAUCCAAAAGAAAAACAAAGAAAUAAAUCGGAUCGGAUCCGAAAAGGCAAAAAGAAACCGGAUGAGGGGAACAUGCAAAGAAAAUCAAAGGCACCCACGGGGGCAAAGGACUUCAUCACCAAAUCCCUCGACGGUGGCGCGCUCUCCCUCGGGAGAGGGCGCGCACCGACAAGAGGAGCGGAGGAGGCCGCUGCUGCGCAAAGGAAGAGGGGAUCCUCGGUGGGGCGUGGCUGCCACCACGCGAGGAACGGCCGAGGGCCACAUAUGGUGCGGUUUCCGGCCGCUGCGAGAGAGACAAGAGGCUCGGGGUAAGCAGCAGAGGGGCUGCGGGAGCUUCGGCGGGGCAUGAGAGCCACCGCUCGAAGGGAAGCCCCCGUAGUCGCUCUACCACCCAUGAGGAGACCCUGCUCCGGUGGCCUGAGGAACUGCUCGAGGAAGGAAGAACACCCCACGGGGAACGCCAUGGCUCCGAGGAAAAGAGGCGGCCACCAUGAACGGAAUACGGCCACGGCAUGCGCUCUGCGGGGNNNNNNNNNNNNNNNNNNNNNNNNNNNNNNNNNNNNNNNNNNNNNNNNNNNNNNNNNNNNNNNNNNNNNNNNNNNNNNNNNNNNNNNNNNNNNNNNNNNNNNNNNNNNNNNNNNNNNNNNNNNNNNNNNNNNNNNNNNNNNNNNNNNNNNNNNNNNNNNNNNNNNNNNNNNNNNNNNNNNNNNNNNNNNNNNNNNNNNNNNNNNNNNNNNNNNNNNNNNNNNNNNNNNNNNNNNNNNNNNNNNNNNNNNNNNNNNNNNNNNNNNNNNNNNNNNNNNNNNNNNNNNNNNNNNNNNNNNNNNNNNNNNNNNNNNNNNNNNNNNNNNNNNNNNNNNNNNNNNNNNNNNNNNNNNNNNNNNNNNNNNNNNNNNNNNNNNNNNNNNNNNNNNNNNNNNNNNNNNNNNNNNNNNNNNNNNNNNNNNNNNNNNNNNNNNNNNNNNNNNNNNNNNNGGCAGAUUCAAAGGCUCUUUCUAGGAAUUUUUUCCUACGAAAACAUGAUUAGAAAGUACAAAAUAAAAUGUUCAAAGUUUCUGUCAAUUUAGACAGAAUUGUUAAUUUAUUUUUCUGAAAAGAAAAGUAAAAAUAUUUCUGAGAACAAAAUAGUUUUCUCAGAAAAGGAAAAGUUCAUGAUCUUUAUAAAAGCAUUAAUAAAGUUCAUGAAUUUUUUAAUUAUGACAGAAUAUAUUUUUCUGUAAUAGUGACAAAAUUUUUCUACAAAGAAAAUAAAAGGUUCUGAAAAUAAAAGAAAUAUUUUCAGAAAGAGAAAAGUUCAUGGAUUUUACAAAAGGAAAAUAAAGUUCAUGAAUUUUUUAUUUUUCACAGAUUUUUUUUCUGUAAAGGUGCAUGAAUUUUCAUAUUCACGUUUUUCCGGUGCAAAGUAAAAAGGUUUAGUCCUCCAAUUAAAUUGGAACCAACGGAAAAAUUUAAUUGGAAGAACUGUUAUUAGCAAAGUUUUUCCCUUGUGGGUGAAAUAGGAUUCAAACAGUUUCCGCUAUGACAAUAGAAUGAAGUUUGUUUUAAAGUUAAAAUAUGGUAUUGUUGUUUUCUGACCAACGUUGAUGAUAACAAUACUAUAAUUGUAUGAGUCAUCUUAUGUUUAAAGCUUAAAUCUCUGAUAAAUUUUGUAUCAAAGUGAUCACUUUUCGGAGCACAGAUAAAGAAAUGCAUAUGGUUAAUGAUGAUGAUGAUUAUUUCUUAGCAAAGUUGCUCAGUAGAAAUACUACCAUCACAUUGUUUAUGAGUUAUAUGCAUUAUUUCCAUUUCUGCCCAACGGUGAUAUGGAAUUAAUGCAGAAGAAUGAUGUUUUAUUCUAAUUCUGCCACAACGGUGUUUUAGAAUAUUCCAGAAAGUUUAAAAGGUUUAAUGUGCAUGAUUCUAAUCAGACCAACGUAGGGUUAUUUUUAUGCUCAUUACCGUUGUUUAUUGGCUAAGUUUUCUCAGACUAAAAGUUAUUCAAGCUUUCACUCAUGAAAGCGAAUGGUUUGGGUACUAGUGACCCGAAAGAUGGAAAAGAAAGGCCAUAACUUGAGGGAAUAAAUUCUCUCUAAAGGAUGGCUUCACAAGAAAAGAACUCUUGGAUAUUAAUUCAAGAAAAGAAAAGAGAUAGAUCAUUGAGAGUCUUGGUUGACGAAUGUCUUUCAUGUACUCUCUAUGAUGGAGUCUCCUUUUUUCAGUCAACAUGAUUGAAAUGAAACAAGCAACAUGCAUGUUUAAUUUGACCAAUGUCGGAUCAAACAUGUGUGUCAAAGAUAAUUCAGAUUUAUUUCUGAAUUUGAUGCAGUCAAAAGAGCCAAUUAUGGCAUUUAUGAUGUCCCUUAAAGGGAAUUACCCGCAUGGCGGGAAAAGUCUGUGAAGAAUGCCUGCGUAACCGGGUGAAGUUGACAUUGUAUUAUGUCAACAAUCCGUGUAUGGAGGGAGAAAUUUUGGCAAAAGCCUUAUCCUGUAUGACAGGAGAAAGUUAUGAUGACUCAUGUGCGGUUAAUGUGUCCCACUAUGGGAGAAAAGUAUGGAGUAGCUAUUAAGCUUUCCUAUCAUCGACCGUACACCUUAUGUGUAACGGUCAUUAUGCAAUCACUAAAUCCAGAAAGGAUAAAAGUAACAUGCGAACCUAAAGACAAGAAUGAUAUGCAAGUGUGACUUGGAAAAGAGACAAUGAUAAAGAACUCUGUUGAGUUUCUGAAAUGAAAUGAGGAAAAAGUACUCCCAUACUAGUUAACUUAUAACUUCAUUUUACAUGAAGUGAUAAGAUGAAUGAGCUAGAUAAUCGAAGUUUCCUCAUUUCACAAGAGCUAUGAAUGGGUUUCGAAAUUGUGGCAAAAAAGUUCUUGCCACAUUUCGAGGGGGAGAAAGAGACAUGAAAUACAUUGUAAUGUAUUUCAUGACUCCUCUGUACUUUAGAUGAUGUGAUGCGCAUUAUGCAUCUAAAGUGAUCCAUUAAUGAAGAAUAUGAUUGUCAAGGGGAGUACGACAGUCAUCUGAAUACCGUCAUUAUGAUACCCCUAAAGAAAAGAAACAGUUGUAUUUUCGGAUCUUUUAUAGUUCCGAAAGUAGACUAAGGAAUACAACAGUGGUGCUUAAAGUGCCAUAAAGAAGAAAGUUUAAAGAUACGCCAUUUCUUCAGUGAAGAUGGAGUAAUCUGGGGGAGCAUGUUGUAUGACCUAUACAACACCUGUUGUUAGCUCUACAAGGGAUCUUGUGAUACAGGUCCCUGUAAAACCUAUUGCCUUUUGGAAAUGGGUGACUAUAGAAUGAAUUGCCUCUUGGCAAUGACAGAGCAACGACUACCCCAUAUGAAAGAAGUGCGAGUACCUGAGAUUUUGAUGGUCUCUAGGAAUGUGAAAAUCAGAUACUUGUGACUACUAUAAAGUCUAUGUUAGUGAAAUUCCAUCAUUUGAAUUUCACUAACAUAGACUUUAUGAAGGGUCUACAAGGCAAAUGUGACUCCAAAGGAAAUAUGUAAAUGCGUAAUAAAAUGACUUAAAUCGAAAGAUUUUGUGCAAAGAAAAUGAGAGGAUAAUUGCAUUCAUGCAAAGUUAUAGAAUGGGAAAUUCGUUUCCCAAUUCCUAUGCAUGUGGAUGAUGUCCUACUUGCUAGUGGUGAUGCCAAUCUACUGCAGGAGGAGAAAAGAAGUUCUUGUCCUCAAAGUUCAAAAGAAUAAAAGGGGGUAUUAGGAAUGUCGUAUGGGCACGCUAAGAAAGAUCUCUAAAGUAUGCAUACGAGAAAACCUACGCCUGUUCUUAUAGUCAAGGGUAAUGGAAGUGGAAACUAUGGUGUUCCAAAAGUUAAUAAGAAAAGAUUGUAAACGGAUAUGGUACCAUAUGCUUCAGUUGUUGGAAGCUCAAGAAAUUACCCUGACACAGUUCACGUAUAUAUCCGUGUUGUUUUGGCAAUGUCCAGUCCAUAGAUAAAUGAAUGGAAUGGAUUCAAAGAUAUCGGCCUCAUGCUGAAAGAAAUAAGUGCUCUCAAAACAUUGUGAGUACAAAGGAGGAAUUGUGAAAUGUAUAGCGAAAUCCACAAUUGUCGCUAACUUUCAUACUCGGAUUUUUUGUGUGGAAAAUCUCCAAAUGAGUGAAACCAUUGUCAUCAAUGUGAUGCAAUGAUAUGUUAUAGCUUGAUAUGAGGCUGAGGGAUAGGCAACGUGGUUAAGGCUACCUGUACCCGGAGUGGAUAAUGGUUGACAACGACGAUUACCAUUUUAAGUUCUUUCGCUCCUGUCACAACGAGUCAAGUGUUGAUGCCAAACACACUCACAAAGGGUUACGUGUUGUGAAGGAGAAAGUCCUGGAUUAUGGAAAAUGCUUGAAGCAUAAAAGCAACAAACAAGUGUUUUGCAGAUCUGUUUAUCAAAGGCUUACCGCCCAGUGCGUUCGGAGAACACACAGUCGACAUGGGUUUAUGGUAUAGUCUAAUAUUUCCGGACAACAAAGGGCCCAAGGUUAAAGAAUCUGUCUUAAAAUAGAGAGGUACAUUGUGGCUGUCUCAUUCCAUCGGCAAUUGAGCCGUGACGAUGAAACAUGCCCUAUGUAUUGAUCUGUUACGAAACGGGUAAAGUUAAAAGUAUAUGAUGAGAUCAAGGGGGAGAAUGUUAGGUUGAUCUCUUUCCCAAUGGGGGCGUCCAGCCCAAGCAAGGCUGGUGGGCCCCUGUCGCGCAGUGCUAUAUGUAGAGGAGGUGGGGACCAUGGCACGGGUUACGAGGUUCGCCGCCGCCACUGGUUCCCCACUCUCCAACCCUAAUCCGAUCUAGAGGGAUGCACUGAAGCGACGGGAAGUCCAUCACCGCCACUACCGGAUCUCUCUCUCCUUCCCCACCGUCGUCCCCAUCUCACGACGGUCGCUGGAGGGAACUCAUCGAGAUCAUCACAAGGUAAAUCUCCACAUCACACCGAACACAUCUAGCCUUGUCGAUCCACGGAUCUAUGAGAUAUAUCCAAGCUAAGCUAUGACCUAACCGUUAUAUUAGUCAGACCGUGGUUCAAGGUAUGCGCUCCACAGUAAAAUAAUAGAAUGGACCUUAACAGGUUUCUUUGCUGAUAUGGUUUUUUAGAUCAAUCUUGGAUCUCUAGGGUUCAGGUUGCAUGAACCUAAUGCGCUAAUCAUGGAUCUCCUCGAUCACCUGAUGCUGAUGUAGUCAAAUCUUACUCUGCGUCACCGUUUACGGGUAGGGUUCAGUUGAUUUAAUUAUUAUAGAUGGUAUGACUAAUUAUUAUAGUUGGGGUAGCACCAAUUGCAGAGAAGCUGGUCCAGCAUCGUCUCAGAUGGUUUGGACAUAUUCAACGGAGGCCAUCGAAAGCGCCGGUGCAUAGCAGACGGAUAAAGCGUGCUGAGAAUGGUAAGAGGGGUCGUGAUAGACCAAACUUGACAUGGGAGGAGUCCGUUAAGAGAGACCUGAAGGUUUGGAAUAUCGACAAAGACUUAGCCAUGGACAGGGGUGCGUGGAAGUUAGCUAUCCACGUUCCAGAGCCAUGACUUGGUUUCGAGAUCUUAUGGGUUUCAACUCUAGCCUACCCCAACUUGUUUGGAACUGAAAGAUUUGGUUGUUGUUGUNUUGUUGUAUAAGUUGUUUCUAUGGACUUUAAUCAACCUGGUGGCCCUAUAUAUCUCCCACUGAUACAUUGCAUGUUGACAACGACAACAAAGUACCCUUUAGGACAGAAUGGGUGCAUCUUCCGAGGGAAGGAGCGAGUGACAAGACAUGUAAUAUAUUUUGAAACAUUUUGCAUAACAUGGAUGCUGACUAGACCUAGACAGAUAUACCACCUCACAGAGCAUACUAACCAUUAAGUUACAGUUAACACACAAAUAGUUGGAUAACGUUAUAGUCGAUACACAGAUACCACGACGUCUUGACGAAUCACUCGUUGAGACAAAAAUUGAUAUAGUAGCUUGGGGUGGGGAAUCACAGUAGUCUACCACUUUACUUGCCGUAUGCAUUAAAGCAUCUACAACCAGACCUCUCAUACCCAUCUCAAAUGUCCGGUCAGGCCGCCAGGUCAUUUUAAACGCCUGGGCUGACCGGCAUCCCUCAUAUUCAGCCUAAAUAUUAAGGAGCCCGGGCACGCCCGCCUGGAUCUCAGAGUUACAUGCAUGCUAGCCAUUUUCCUUUUCCUUUACCAAGUGAAAGUGCUGACUGAAUUCUAUCUCGUCUUGGUUUGGUUCACUGUGGCAUGUACGAUGUCAUUACUGAUUAGCUCAACCCUGCUUUUGAGCAUACACGUAAUUAUCUUCUUUUUGGGUAGCUCUUCACCGGUUACAACUAGCUUUGGCUCCAAGAUUAGUGCAAAAGGCAACCUUUUUUGUUCUAACUUUGCAACUUCCGCUGUCCAUGGAUUGGUCAUGUGCCAUGGCCAUAGCAACUUUGGUUGAGAUCAAUGCAGUCAACUUGUUUGUGAUUACUGUGAUAUUGCAUCACAAAUUGACCACCCGCAAUCAAGAAAUUAUACACCAUCCUUAAUGGUUUAGGCUUUCAAGAAAAUAUUAUAGAAUAGUAUCCAGGCUAAGCUAUGAUGUGCACUAGUAGAAAUAAGGGCUUUCGUCCCAGCUCGAAAAACACAUUAGUCCCGGUUCCUUUACGAACCGGGACUAAUGUUAGUAUUAGUCCCGGUUCAAGCCGCAAAGGCGUCGGUCGGGCAUUAGUCCCGGUUCAAAUGGGACCUUUAGUCCCGGUUCGUGUCUCGAACCGGGACUAAAGGGUUUGGAGGAUUUAGUCCCGGUUCGUGUCUCGAACCGAGACUAAAGGGUUUGGAGGAUUUACUCCCGGUUGGUGUCUUGAACCGGGACUAAAGGGUAGACCUUUAGUCCCGGUUCGUGACACGAACCGGGACUAAAGGUGUUCAGAUUUUUUUUCUGUUUUUAAAUUCUUGUUUGUAGUUUCUGUUUUAAAUUGCUUAUAUCUUUUAGGACAUUUGAUGUUUUUGAUUGAUUCUUUUUGCAUUAGAUUCAAAAUUUUGUCUAGUUUCUGUUUGUGCCAUUAGUUUUCAAAUUUAAAUUUGUUUAAUUUUGCUUCAAACCCAUUUUUUGAAUAAUUUGAGUUUACAAAUAGNNNNNNNNNNNNNNNNNNNNNNNNNNNNNNNNNNNNNNNNNNNNNNNNNNNNNNNNNNNNNNNNNNNNNNNNNNNNNNNNNNNNNNNNNNNNNNNNNNNNNNNNNNNNNNNNNNNNNNNNNNNNNNNNNNNNNNNNNNNNNNNNNNNNNNNNNNNNNNNNNNNNNNNNNNNNNNNNNNNNNNNNNNNNNNNNNNNNNNNNNNNNNNNNNNNNNNNNNNNNNNNNNNNNNNNNNNNNNNNNNNNNNNNNNNNNNNNNNNNNNNNNNNNNNNNNNNNNNNNNNNNNNNNNNNNNNNNNNNNNNNNNNNNNNNNNNNNNNNNNNNNNNNNNNNNNNNNNNNNNNNNNNNNNNNNNNNNNNNNNNNNNNNNNNNNNNNNNNNNNNNNNNNNNNNNNNNNNNNNNNNNNNNNNNNNNNNNNNNNNNNNNNNNNNNNNNNNNNNNNNNNNNNNNNNNNNNNNNNNNNNNNNNNNNNNNNNNNNNNNNNNNNNNNNNNNNNNNNNNNNNNNNNNNNNNNNNNNNNNNNNNNNNNNNNNNNNNNNNNNNNNNNNNNNNNNNNNNNNNNNNNNNNNNNNNNNNNNNNNNNNNNNNNNNNNNNNNNNNNNNNNNNNNNNNNNNNNNNNNNNNNNNNNNNNNNNNNNNNNNNNNNNNNNNNNNNNNNNNNNNNNNNNNNNNNNNNNNNNNNNNNNNNNNNNNNNNNNNNNNNNNNNNNNNNNNNNNNNNNNNNNNNNNNUUUUAAAAAAAUGCCUUUGUAGCAGAUGAGUUUUCGUCUGAAACCUUGAUACUCUGAGUUUUGUAGAAAAUAAACAAAAAUGAUAAAAUCUUCGAAAAAUAAAAUCAUUUGAGAUGUUGUUAGGUUUUAGUGUCUAGUCGGUACAGAAAUUUUAAGAUAUGAAUUUUGACCGUUUUUGCAAAAAAAGGAAAAAAAAUAAACGGCCAUAACUUUUGCAUACGACGUCCCAAAAAGAUUAAUAUAUCAAAAAAAACUAGAAAAAAUUGGUACUCGAUUUCACCCGGGCUUGCCCGGUGAAGUUUUCUCACAUGCUCAAAAUUCCAAAUGGAAAAAAAGUUAUUUCAAAAAGAAGUUUUUUCCAGAAAAAAGGAAGUUAAUUUUAUUUAAAAAUAUUAGGUUGUUUUCAUUGAAAUUCACUAUUAUUGUUACUUACUAAGUUUAUUUUAAUAAUUGUUUGUAAUUGAAAAAAUUAAAUCAUGUGACAUGACAUCAAGACCCAAGUUGUUUAUGAUAGAUAGCUUACUAUUGUCAGAAAAACAACAAGUGCAUACUUGGCAACUAGGGGUGAAGUUAGACGAUUUGAAAUGAGUGAUCCACGCUAGAGCAGUGAGGAUGGGUGAUUAGAGAUUAAAUUGUCAAAUAAUUCAAAGAUUAUAAAAUUGGAAUAAAACAUAAAAAAUAUUCAAAAAUAAAUUUUGAAUUUUUUUUAAAAAAGUCUACCUUUUCGGGUAAAAAAAAAACAGACGGAUCCUUUAGUCCCUGUUCGUAAGUAGAACCGGGACUAAAGGUACUCCCUCCGAGGCGGCCACGUGGAGCACCUUUGGUCCCGGCUUGGAACAGGACCGGGACUAAAGGUUAGGCCUUUAGUCCCGCCCCUUUAGUCCCGGUUGGUGAACCGGGACUAAAACCCCUUACGGGCCGGGACUAAAGGCCCUGUCUCCACUAGUGGUGGUGGCUAUAAUAUUUUAGGAGACUGAUGGUUAUAAUAGACAGGUCGCUCUAGGUACAUACUCCACUUUAAAAUAAGAAAACUGACCUUAACAAGUUUCUCUGCUGAAAUGUAUUUUCAUUGACAUGUUGAGAAUAUAUGAUUCAGGUGACGUGAACCUAAUGUGAUAAUCGUGCAUCUCGUUGACUGACCGGUGCUAAGGCACUCAAAUCAAAUCUCACUGUACAUCAUGAUUUACUUGUAGGAUUCGGUUAAUUAUUACAAGUGUUAGGACCAUAGAUUAAAGGACUUUAUUAGGGGCCGCAUAUUAAUCUUCCCAUGCAGGGCCUCCCUUCCAUCCAUUUUUUGCAUGAAUGCAACAUUGCAUAAGUACGACAUCAUUAAAUAUUCUUUUGAUCUUGAAUUAAAAAAAAAUCUCCUAAACCGUUACCUUCGUUUUCACCACUGACUUUGUCAUGACGAGAUCUUCAAAACUAGAUCCCAUGUCGACAUGUUUCGACAACUUUUGUUUUCGUCGGUACUUGCCAGAUUAUUAUCACUUACUUGUCAUAUUAUUUGUCACAUUAUUUGUCACAUUAAAUCAACUUGAUUAUCAGAUUUAUGAAUGUCGAUAUACCCCAUUAAAAAACUUGAUUCAUUGUACUCGUGCGUUCAUGCAUUUACUUGCUUAUUGUUAGUGUGUUAAUACCCACUUUUUAGCUCACAUAACAUGUAAUGCUUAAAAAAUAUAAAUUUUGUCGCGGUAACUACGUGUAAUUUUUAUGACAACUGUACACCCGUAAGAUGACUACUAGGAACGACGAAAAAAAAAUCAAUGAAACAUGUCAACAUGGGAUCUUAUUUUGCACUAGUAGAAAUAAGGGCUUUCGUCCCAGCUCGAAAAACACAUUAGUCCCGGUUCCUUUACGAACCGGGACUAAUGUUAGUAUUAGUCCCGGUUCGAGCGGUAAAGGCGCCGGUCGGGCAUUAGUCCCGGUUCAAAUGGGACCUUUAGUCCCAGUUCGUGGUUUGGAGGAUUUAGUCCCGGUUCGUGUCUUGGACCUUUAGUCCCGGUUCGUGUCUCGAACCGGGACUAAAGGGUUUGGAGGAUUUAGUCCCGGUUGGUGUCUUGAACCGGGACUAAAGGGUAGACCUUUAGUCCCGGUUCGUUUAAGAUUUUUUUUUUCUGUUUUUAAAUUCUUGUUUGUAGUUUCUGUUUUAAAUUGCUUAUAUGUCUUAGGAUAUUUGAUGUUUUUGAUUGAUUCUUUUUGCAUUAGAUUCAAAAUUUUGUCUAGUUUCUGUUUGUGCCAUUAGUUUUCAAAUUUGAAUGGUUUAAAUUUGAAUUUGUUUAAAUUUGCUUCAAACCCAGUUUUUGAAUAACUUGAGUUUACAAAUAGUUUUUAAUUUAAUUCUUUUUGCUCCCAGUCAUGUGUUAGAUUGUUGUCACAGUAAGAUUUAUUUGGUUAUUUUUAAAAUAAUUUAAAUUAGGCUUUUAAUUAAAGAAAUAUUAUUUUGCUUAUAUAGUUGUUUUAGUUAUUUAAUUGUUGUUUUUUUAUUAUUUCAAAAAGUUAUUUCAAAAAGAAGUUUUUUCAAAAAGUUGUUGUCACAGUAAGUCUUUUAUUAUUUCAAAAAGUUAUUUCAAAAAGAAGUUUUUUCCACACAAAAAAUGAAAAAUAUUUUUAUUUAAAAAUAUUAGGUUGUUUUCAUUGAAAUUCACUAUUAUUGUUACUUAUUAAGUUUAUUUUAAUAAUUGUUUGUAAUUCAAAAAAUUAAAUCAUGUGACAUGACAUCAAGACCCAAGUUGUUUAGGAUUGAUAGCUUACUAUUGUCAGGAAAACAACAAGUGCACACUUGGCAACUAGGGGCGAUAGAACCAGAAAGUUAAGCGUGCUCGGGCUGAAGCAGUGAAAGAAUGGGUGAUCGGCCGGGAAGUUAGACCAUUUAAAAUGAGUGAUCCACGCUAGAGGCUGAAGCAGUGAAAUGAUGGGUGAUCGGCCGAUGGGUGAUUAGAGAUUAAAUUGUCAAAUAAUUCAAAGAUUAGAAAAUUGGAAUAAAACAUAAAAAAUAUUCAAAAAUAAAAUUUGAAAAAAGAAAAAUCUACCUUUCCGGGUCAAACAAACAAAAAAAAACAGACGGAUCCUUUAGUCCCGGUUCGUAAGUAAAAGCGGGACUAAAGGUACUUCCUCCAAGACGGCCUAAACUGAAGAAAAAGGAUGCUUCUAUGGUGGCUCUUUCUUCUGUUGACUAAUGUUGGGCUUAAUAGUUUCAUGUUUUUCUUAAACUGAGUGCGACUUAGUAAUGAGUGUUAUUAAUAGCAUGAUGUAAUUUGUCGAUUCAAAGAGAGCAGAAAAAUAUCUGUUCACAAGGAAAGUUUCGUAUGCAAAAAUCUGUAUAAAAUACAAAAAGAAGUUACUUUAAAAAUAAAAGAGCAAAUCUGAAUAAGUGAGCUAACCUUUUAUUUUGUACCCACAAAGUUUUGGAAAGAACAAAAACUUAUGAUAUGAAUAGUCGAUUGAGAGCCAGCGGUUAACGUCGACAAGCUCGGGCCAAAAGUGCGCGAAGUGCAUAGGGCUGAAUGCAGCUGCAGAGCAAAUGAAACAGGUGUCAGACAUACACAUUGUAAACUUCCAAGUAACAUUAACGAAUUACUUAAUGAUAGUUUGGAUCAACAUGAGCAAUAUCAAAGCCUUGGAUGGAUUUUUUUGAAUGCACGCGUACUCAUUGGUGCGACCCGCACGUGUAUUCCCGGCCUACGCAGCAUCCAGCAAAGAGAUUCUCCUCCGUCUCUCUACACAUCACCUGCGCCUGCGUCUAAUUCUUUACUCCGGGGCCAUGUCCUCAUCGUCGUGGUUCUUCUGCUGGAGGAGGGGCGCGGAUGUUCUGAGUCUGGAGAUCCUGCACCGCAGCUCCGAGACAUAGCCGUCGGUUCACUGUGGCGUCGCCUCUCCCUACCCCCUGCUACUGCUUUAUGGCGCAAAAUAGGUCAUUGCGCGUAUGCUGGAAAGUCAUCACCGCAUUUAUCUCCUCUCAUAGUGCACCCUUCCGAUCGUGGUGGCAAGUGAUCCCUCCAUGACGUAGGUUCGCCGCCGCGGCAUGACCUUGAUGUCCCACCCUAAACUAGGUUUUCACGAUUUUAGAAGAUUUUAUAAUAUAAUCGAGUCUGGUAGAAAAGAAGGACCACCAAAACGCCAUUUGCCUGUAAAACUUUAUUUGCGCUGGGCUUCCGUGGGUCAUUGGAUCGAAAGGAAUAGCCAGAUGGCUUUCUUCUUCCUCCAUAUGUUUCGGAAUUUAGCUGGCUUGUAUAGCGCACAAUCUCUCCAUCAACUGCCGCUUGCAGUGUCGUCCCCUACUAAGGCGAUAUUGCUAUCUAAUCCUAGACGCACUCAAAUACAAAAAGAUCCUUGCCCCUCAACCAGCACCGGUUAACCUCGUCCUCGCCUCUACCAGUGAUUGUGCAGCUAGAGGCGCCGUCCCUGUCCCUAGCUAUACAAUCUAAGUGGUGGUUAUAAUUUUGUUAGGACACUAGUGGUUAUAAUAGUCAGGUCGCUCUAGGUACAUAGGCCACUUUAAAUAACAAAAUCGACCUUAACAAGUUUCUCUGCUGAAAUGUAUUUUCAUAGACAUGUUGAGAAUAUAUAUGAUUCAGCUGACCUGAACCUAAUGUGAUAAUCGUGCAUCUCCUUGACCGACUGGUCCUAACUGCUAAAUCAGUCAUAUCUGACUCUACAUCAUGAUUUACUUGUAGGAUUCCGUUAAUUAUUACUAGUAGUGGGACUCAUUUUCCUCUCUGACACAUAUGUGCAAUUCUGAUGGACUAGUCGGUUGAUCGGUCUCACGCCUACCUCCUGCUGUUUAAUUGCAUAUAGCCAAUUGGUCUAGACUAUUGCACAACAAAACAGUGCUUUAUAUGGCACCAGCAACAGGUACGAAAAGCUAAGUCCGGUGAUCUUCUCAACCCUUUGUUCUUGCAAAGAUAUCAAUAAUUAGACCGAAUGGUUCUUAGCACCAUAAUAAUUUCUAGUGAGAUAUGAAAUUGCAAAAACAUAGAAUUAAUUAAUAAACUUGUUAAAUUUGACAAUAUAUAUGUUAAGGCAUAUAAUUAACAACCAGAAGAACGGUAGAAAAAUCUCGAAGAAGGAAGAAUUAGAAAAGGGGCAGACAUGUUAAUGCACAUACACUCCACAGCUACUUUGUACUCCCUCCGUCCCAAAAUAACCGUCUCAAGCUUAGUACAACUUUGUAUUAGACCUAAUACAAAGUUGAGACACUUAUUUUGGAACGGAGGGAGUAGAAAAAAGGAAGGAUGCCAUGACAAUAGUAAAAUUUCAGGACACAAAACAUAAUUCUGGUGGCUGGGGAGUUACAGUUGCAGAUAAGGAUUUUAGUAACAGAACAAAAAAAGCAGAGAGCAGCAUAUUGAUGCAACCCAGGCUCAAACAUAUAGUCAGACCAUGCAUAAUUUGCUUUAUAUUUGUAUAAAGAGAAUGAAUCAAUCUUCAAAGACAUAUACAUUAUAACAUUUCAGGUACAUAAGUCAUAGCCGAUUUCAGUUCAAUAGAUCAGUAAAGGGGAUUCAGUUCAUGCUUGGACCAACUAUUCAUGUGAUAGGUCAUAGGUUUCAAGAGAAACUGAAAUACAUUAAAGAUCUAUUCAUUUUAAUUCUACUUAUUCUAAUUUGUAUGAGUUAAUUUUCUAAAUAUUGAUUUUGGCGUUGAGUCACAUUUUAGCUUGACAGUCUUCACCUUCUCGGGGGUUAAUGACUUGUAGUAGACAUACAUGAUGAGGUCGAACAUCCCACUAAGUCCAUUGGGGAUCUGUAGUGCAUGAAUUAAGACAAAAGCUAAUAUGGUUGGAUCCCAAAAAUAGAGACAUUACAGACCUCUACUUCAUGGUCGUAAGUAAUAUCUCCAUUUUCAGGUUCACGGUUAGUACCACACUUGUCUUUGUUUGUGCACUAUAUAUAUCACAAUGGCCUCAAUACGAUGUUUGCCCUCAUUUUGUAUUCGUAUUACUGCAAGUCGACCCCCAAGAAGGAGAAGAACAUCAAGCUAAAAUGUGAUUGAAAGCCAAAGAUCAAUAUAUAUGUAGAAAUACCAGUGAUUUAGAAAUAAAAUAAGUGUGAUUAAAACGCAUAGAUUGUAUUUCAAGUUCUCUUGAAAUAUAUGACAUGUGAUUUGAAUAGUUUGUCCAAGCAUGAACUUCAAAAAUAGAUGGAACCAAAAGCCUUAUGCAAUAUUACUCAGCUGUAGUUACACAGGAAAGGAGAAUCCUAAGUGAGAAAGCAAUGUGACAAGUCCAGGACUCCACCGAAGUCUGCACCCACUAAUCUUAGCCAAAUAGAGCGUUUAGGCCAACAAUUUGAACUAAGAGGUCUUUUCGCUGAUGUUAGAGACAUCGGGAGCCUCAAUCACAUUCCAAGCACCACCUCACGACAUGGCUUGAUCAUAACUAGACAUACUUCGUUUUUUGCUCAUGUACAUUAGGUUACCAAUUCUCCUUCGACAGAUCUGACGAUGACUCUAGGCUUAGUCCUGUCAACCAUAUUCUAUACCUGCUUUUCUUAUCACUUGAUAACAAAUCAUCAAGCUCUAUUUUACAGUAUAGUGAAAAGACUAUCUAAGAAAGACAGCCUACAUAAUCUCUCAUCGACACCUCACAAUCAGUGUCUGAAGGUUCAUGAUAAACAUUGGUUUCCCAUUUUAUUCGUCACAUGGCAAAACAAAUUUGGGCAUAAGUGUUUUAUUAUAGUUAUGACCAGGAGUAGUGGCGGAGCUUCAGCAGUACCACAGUGCCUAUUUAAUUGUGGCUAAACUGAAGAAAAAAGAUGCUGCUAUGGUGGCUCUUUCUUCUAUUCAAGAGUCUUGAGCUUAAUAGUUUCAUGUUUUUCUUAAAGUGAGUAAGACUUAGUAAUAAGUGUUACUAAUAGCAUGAUGUAAGUUGUCGAUUCGAAGAGAGCAUAAAAAAUCGGGUCGCAAGGACAAAACUUUAUAUGAAGUGCAAAAAAAUGUUACUUUAAAAAUAAAAGAGCAAAUCGGAAUAAGUGAGCAAACCUUUUGUUUUGUACCCGAAAAGAAUUAGAAAUAAAAUAAAAAAUCUGAUAGGAAUACUCGAUGGAGAGCCAGCGGUUAAUGUCGACAAGCACAGACAAUGCGCAUGCAGCAGUAGCAACUGAAACAAGUGUCAGUCAUACACAUUGUAAGCUUUCAAUUAACAGUAAUGAAUUACGUACUUACUGAUUGUUUGGAUCAACAUCAGCAAUAUCAAGGCCUUGGAUGCAUGCACGCGUACUCACUCUCGUGCGACCCGCGCGCACGUGUAUUCCCAGACUUCACGCCAUCCGGAGAAGAGACUCUCCUCCGUCUCUACACACGUCAGCUGCGCCUGCGUCUACUCCUUGCUCCGGUGCCAUGUCCUCCGAGACACAGCGGCGCCGCCUGCCUGCUCCCCCUGCUGCUGCUUGAUGUCGCGGGAUUGAUCAUUGCGCGCAUGCAGGAAAGAUGCCGCCGCCUCCAUCUUCUCGAUCGUGAUGGCGGCGAGCGAUCCCUCCAAAACUAGGUUUUCACGAUCGUGAUGGCCAGCGAUCUCGAUCUCCAUCCUACGUUCGCCGCCGCGGGACGACCUUGCUGUUCCACCCAAAACUAGGUUUUCACGAUUUUAGUACAAGAAUUUAUAGGAAAUAACAAGUAAAUUAUAUAAUGGAGUCCGGUAG